UGGAGGAGAUCUGACAUUCAGCUGAGGUUUGCAUCGUUUUUUUUGGGUGUAACAGUACAGUGAAUGGUUAUUAUUAAUAUUAUAAUUUUAUGAAGUUGCUAUGGGAAUGUGAAAAGUCAUCGUUCUGCAUCUGCUGCUCUCCUGUGGUAAGCAUUGGCCUGGCAGACCGCUGAUUCAUGCUAGCUCCCCCCAGUUUCACAGAAGAUCCAGACUUGUAUCCCAUUCAAGGCUUCAGAUCCCGCAUGCUUUUGUGGAUGUCACUGCUGCACUCUGGGAGCACCUCCCCAUUUCCUCCCAACAUUUUUGUGAUGCAGAGAAAUUAUGCCCAUGCUAUACAUGAGGACCUAAAACAAGUCCAGAUUUGAGAAGCAGAUCUCUGUUCGUGCCAUUUUAAUGAUCUGCAAUUUACACAAAAGAAUGGAAUACUCAAUAGACAGCUUUUGACAUUGCAUUUUUUGGAUGCAAUUCUCUGAGAACUGCUGCAGUGUGGGUCCUUUCCAUGGGGUGCAGUCCUACAGGAAUGAACUGCUUCAGCCUGCAGUUCCUGCCAGAAGACCUGUUCCUGCGUGGUCUCCUCUCUAUGGACCAGAGGUCUUGCCAAGAGCCUGCUCCAGUGCAAGCUCUCCAUGUCACAUGUUCCUUCAGGCCACAUGCACCCACUCCAGCAUGGAGUCCUCCACCGGCUGCAGUGGAUCUCUAUUCCACUGUGAAUCUCCAUGGAAUGCAAGGGGACAACCUGCCUCACCAUGGUCUUCUUCACAAGCUUCAGGUAAAUCUCUUCUCCAGCUCCUGGAGCACUUCCUACU